AUUGAACGCUGGCGGCAGGCCUAACACAUGCAAGUCGAACGAGAGGCGGACGGGUGAGUAAUGUCUGUGAAACUGCCUGAUGGAGGGGGAUAACUACUGGAAACGGUAGCUAAUACCGCAUACCAUCAGGUGUUCCCAGAGGGGAUUGGCUUGUUGGUGGGGUAACGGCCCACCAAGGCGACGAGCCCUAGCUGGUCUGGGAGGAUGACCAGCCACACUGAAACUGAGAUACGCUCCAGACGCCGACGGGAGGCAGCAGUGGGGAAUAUUGCAGAAUGGGCGCAAGCCUGAUGAAGCCAUGCCGCGUGUAUGAAGAAGGCCUUCGGGUUGUAAAGUACUUUCAGCGGGGAGGCGUUACCCGCAGAAGAAGCACCGGCUAACUCCGUGCCAGCAGCCGCGGUAAUUC
rnacentral:rRNA from 1 species